rnacentral:rRNA from 1 species
GACAGAGGGUGCGAACGUUUGUUCGGAAUUACUGGGCGUAAAGCGCAUGUAGGCGGCAGCGCAAGUCGGGCGUGAAAUCCCACGGCUCAACCGUGGAAGUGCACUCGAAACUGCGCAGCUAGAGUCCUGGAGAGGAAGGUGGAAUGCUUGGUGUAGAGGUGAAAUUCGUAGAUAUCAAGCGGAACACCGGAUGGCGUAAGGGCCGGCCUUAGCUGGGCAUGUGACGUGACGCUGAGAUGCGAA